rnacentral:rRNA from 1 species
GAUGAAUGCUGGCGGCGUGCCUAACACAUGCAAGUCGAGCGGCAGCGAGGGGUGCUUGCACCCUGUCGGCGAGCGGCGAACGGCUGAGUAACGCGUAGGAAUUUGCCCCAAAGUGAGGAAUAACUGCCCGAAAGGGUAGCUAAUGCCGCAUAUGGUCUUCGGAUUAAAGGAUUUAUCCGCUUUGGGAGAAGCCUGCGUUGGAUUAGGUUGUUGGUAGGGUAAUGGCCUACCAAGCCGACGAUCCAUAGCUGGCCUGAGAGGAUGAUCAGCCAGACUGGAACUGAGACACGGUCCAGACUCCUACGGGAGGCAGCAGUGAGGAAUCUUCCACAAUGGGCGAAAGCCUGAUGGAGCAACGCCGCGUGAAGGAUGAAGGCCUUCGGGUUGUAAACUUCUUUUAUGAGUGAAGAAUAUGACGGUAACUCAUGAAUAAGCACCGGCUAACUACGUG